UUCCAGGUGCGCUGACGGCCGCGCCCAGACUCUGAAUCUGGAGGACGAAGGUUCGACUCCUUCCCUGGAAGC
rnacentral:tRNA from 1 species